CUUGACUAAAGUAUCCGCUUGCCCCUGACAUGAGGACUCAGCGCAGACACUCAGCCGUGACGAGAAGGCAGCUGGCCUGUGUGCGCACCUCGGACCUCUAAGCGCGCUUCUAUUUUUACCUCCGAGGUUUGUCGCGAUUUGCUGGAUGAAUGCAGGGCAAAUGACAAAUGCCUCGCAUCCUCUGCAGGCUGGCAUUUCUUCCUGCUGACUUAAUGAUCAGGAGCCAGGAAUGUCCCUGACAGUAAUGUUGAUGAAUGGCCUAAUAACCAGGAAGAGACAGCUCUGGCAGCCCCUAGGAAGAUCACACAAUCCGGAAGAGCCCAUUGUCUGACAGUCAGGAAAUGUCUGUAAGGUCACCAUGCUUGAAAAGACGUCCCUCCCUUUGGCUAUAAGACUAUUGAGACAAUAAACUCCAGACUGCGAUCUCGUGUUGGGAAAGAGAAAAUUGAAGUUUGGUCCAGCCAGAGGAGGUAUUUGUCACCCAGGAAGAGAUUUCACAGAGUUUGGACAACUGUCAGCCCCCGCCCAUGGAACAGAGGAGAGGAGAUGGAUGAUCUAUGAGACUGCACCUCAACCAGUUCUGCUGAGCUACGAGUAUCUCCAGCUGGCCCUGCAUUUUAACUUCCCCUCACGUUAGGACCCUGAAGAUGGGUUGGUGGGGGUGGGAGUGGGGGUAGGGGUGGGGGUGGGGUACUGGGCCUCUCAGUUCCUCCUCCAGGUGCGACCACACUGAAUAAAUCCAUUACUUUGCUUCCAGUAUUAUUUACCUGUCUAAUUGCCCUUCUGAGGACCGGCCGCUGAUCUUAUCUCUGACUGUGUUAGCCUCCUUGACAGGCCUGCUCUGGGUCCUUGGUGAGGCUCGCACACUAUCUGCAGUCUGCCCUUGGACACACAUGUGGGUUUCUUCUCCCAUCCUGUGUUUGGAUACUAUCUCCCUGUUGUCUGUCCUCUCCCUGGCCGGAAGGUCAGCAGCUGCUACUGUUGGCCACAGGCUCUGUCCCGGGGUCAGAGUCCCUGUUGUCUUCUAGGUCACUGUUUGGUUCUCAGCUUUGCUUCUUUCUGGCCAGGUGACCUUCUCACAUUGCCUCAGCUGUUGGAUCCACAGUGACGUCUCCUGCCCUGGGCACCUGACACUAAUCCCCAGACUGCCAAGGUCAGCUGACCCUGUGUAGGCCCACCAUCUUGAUCAGAGCUCAGGCGGGAGCCCCUUUCUCCCUGUCCCUGAACCUAGCCCAGUGUGUGCCUCGCCCUGGAGAGGUGACUGCCGAAAGGUGUCUGUCUCACAUCUUGUAUCUGCCUACAAUCCCAGAACGCAUCUUCCCUUUUCUUCCAGGGACACUUGUGGGUGUGCUUCCCUUGCUGGAACGAAUAAAAACAGGCCGGAUGGAGACAAGAAUGAGGAGUUGCAGGAUGUUUUAUUGAAACCAGGUGGGUCAGGGGGAAGCUAAGCAGCUGGAGACUUCCGAUGCUCACCUGCCCACUUUCCACCCUCCACUCCCUCU
rnacentral:sRNA from 1 species